AUUGAACGCUAGCGGGAUGCCUUACACAUGCAAGUCGAAUGGAGUGGCGAACGGGUGAGUAAUGUAUCGGAACGUGCCCAGUCGCGGGGGAUAACUACGCGAAAGCGUAGCUAAUACCGCAUACUAUUGAAGCGGCCGAUGUCGGAAUAGCCAGGUGGUGGGGUAACGGCUCACCAAGGCGACGACCCGUAGCUGGUUUUAGAGGACGACCAGCCACACUGGGACUGAGACCAGGCCAAGCAUCCUACGGAGGGCAGCAGGGGGGAAUGUUGGACAAUGGGGGAAACCCUGAUCCAGCCAUCCCGCGUGUGGGAUGAAGGCCUUCGGGUUGUAAAGCACUUUUGGCAGGAAAGCGGUACCUGCAGAAUAAGCACCGGCUAACUACGUGCCAGCAGCCGCGGUAAUAC
rnacentral:rRNA from 1 species